UACAUAAUUGAGAGUGCCUCUUUUUCCCCUUGCAGAAUUUCUAAAAGGGUGUCGUGAAGAUGACAGGUUGGCGUUGUUAUCUUAGGUCAAGAAGAGACAUAACGAUAAAGUGGUAAAAGAAAAGAUGGCCAAGACCUUCGUAUACAGGAGACAGGAGGUUGUCAAAGACAAGCCCAUGGUUGCAGAAUUCAAGAUCAGAUGGCCAGGAUUGUUCACUGUGGCAGAGGUGGAAGCAGAAUUUGUGAGGAUCACUACUGGUCCCCUUGUCUCAAAGUUCCAUGCAUAGCUUGACCAACACACUGCCCAGCCCAUCGGUGUUUAAUAAAAAGGGAGGCUCUAUAGGGACUAAAAUCAGAAGAACUCUGGUCCCAAUCACACGGAAUGAAACUGUUGAAAAGAGAAGGGGAUGCAUCCUCAGGGCACUUUGUAUCUAUCUAAAUGAAGAUCCGAACAUCCUCUUCAAAGAAUACCAGG